GGUUCCACAGUAUAACAGUUAGCACAUCCGCUUUAUAUGCAGAAAGUCCUGGGUUCACAUCCCAGUGGAGCCA
rnacentral:tRNA from 1 species